rnacentral:rRNA from 1 species
GACGAACGCUGGCGGCGUGCUUAACACAUGCAAGUCGAACGGAAAGGCCCGGCUUUUGUGGGGCGCUCGAGUGGCGAACGGGGGAGUAACACGUGUGUAACCCGCCCUUGUCUGUGGGAGAACUUCAGGAAACUGGGGCGAAAAUCGGAGAGGAGCUCCUGCUGCAUGGUGGGGGUUGGGAAGUGUCGGCGGUGGGGGAUGGACUCGCGGCUUAUCAGCUUGUUGGGGGGGUAGUGGCUUACCAAGGCUUUGACGGGUAGCCGGCCUGAGAGGGUGACCGGCCACAUUGGGACUGAGAUACGGCCCAGACUCCUACGGGAGGCAGCAGUGGGGAAUAUUGCACAAUGGGCGGAAGCCUGAUGCAGCAACGCCGCGUGCGGGAUGCCGGCCUUCGGGUUGUAAACCGCUUUCGCCUGUGCCGAAGAGUGAGUGACGGUACUGAGUAAAGAAGCACCGGCUAACUACGUG